GGGGCUGCACUGGUUUCGACGUGGGUUCGGGAUCGUUGUGGUGCAUGUCGAGUCGAAUUACCUCGUAAAACGGAUUCAAAAAACCAACUGCAAACGACGAACGUUUCGCACUCGCUGCUUAAUCGCUAGCGAGCCCUGCAACAGCUCGCCAAUGGGCUGGGCAAGGGGCCACUGACCAACCGGUUCGUGGCUCCCGGCUGCGGGGGCAUUCACAUUGGCUGGCACUGCACCGGGCACCUUGGUGUGGCGCAAGAAAACAGGGUGCUGGCAAUGGGGAAAGCGUGUGGCUGCGCGUUCCCUGGCGCAAGAUCCAAAUCAGACCACUACACAUGUAGACCUGCUCGGCAAAGGCUCGCGGACGCGGGUUCGAUUCCCGCCAGCUCCACCA
rnacentral:tmRNA from 1 species